GAUGAACGCUGGCGGCGUGCCUAAUACAUGCAAGUCGAGCGAACGGACGAGAAGCUUGUGCCCCUGAUGUUAGCGGCGGACGGGUGAGUAACACGUGGAUAACCUACCUAUAUGACUGGGGUAACAUCGGGAAACCGCAGCUAAUACUGCAUAAUAUUUUGAACCGCAUGGUUCAAAAGUGCAAGACGGCCUUGCUGUCACUUAUAGCUGAAUCCGGGUUGCAUUGGCUAGUUGGUAAGGUCACGGCUCACCAAGGCGACGUAGCGUAGCGGACCUGAGAGGAUGGUGGGCAACAAUGGAACGGUGACAGGGUCCAGACUCGGACGGGAGGCAGCAGUGGGGAAUAUUGGAAAAGGGGCGAAAGCCGGAUACAGCCAUACCGGGUGGGUGAAGAAGGCGUUGGGGUUGUAAAGCCCUUUGGUUGGGAAAGAAAAGCAGCAGGUUAAAACCCCGAUGUACUGACGGUAACCAAAGAAUAAGCACCGGCUAACUUCGUG
rnacentral:rRNA from 1 species